UAGCCCCGUAGUGCAGCGGUUAGCACAAGAGACUCUGGAUCUCUAGACACCAGUUCGAAUCUGGUCGGGGCUGU
rnacentral:tRNA from 1 species